rnacentral:rRNA from 1 species
GAUCAUGGCUCAGGAUGAACGCUAGCUACAGGCUUAACACAUGCAAGUCGAGGGGCAUCAGGAAGAAAGCUUGCUUUCUUUGCUGGCGACCGGCGCACGGGUGAGUAACACGUAUCCAACCUGCCCUUUACUCGGGGAUAGCCUUUCGAAAGAAAGAUUAAUACCCGAUGGCAUGAUGAUUCCGCAUGGUUUCAUUAUUAAAGGAUUCCGGUAAAGGAUGGGGAUGCGUUCCAUUAGGUUGUUGUG